rnacentral:lncRNA from 1 species
AAGAGUUAUGGUGGUUCCAAUCUCCUUCCAUGUAAUAAUGAUGGAGGCCACUGUGUUCUUGGGGACCUUCAAUGCUGCAGAAAUGUUUUGGUACCCUUCCCCAGAUCUGUGCCUCGACACAAUCCUGUCUCGGAGCUCUACGGACAAUUCCUUCGACCUCAUGGCUUGGUUUUUGCUCUGACAUGUACUGUCAACUGUGGGACCUUAUAUAGACAGGUGUGUGCCUUUCCAAAUCAUGUCCAAUCAAUUGAAUUUACCACAGGUGGACUCCAAUCAAGUUGUAGAAACAUCUCAAGGAUGCUCAAUGGAAACAGGAUGCACCUGAGCUCAACUUCGAGUCUCAUAGCAAAGGGUCUAAAUACUUACGUAAAUAAGGCAUUUCUGUUUUUCACUUUUAAUACAUUUCCAAACAUUUCUAAAAACCAGUUUUUGCUUUGUCAUUAUGGGGUAUUGUGAUGAGAUUGCUCAGGAAUAGUUUUUAUUUAAUACAUUUUAUAAUAAGGCUGUAACGUAACAAAAUGCGGAAAAGGGCACUGUAUGUACUGAACAAAAAGAAACGCAACAUGUACAGUGUUGGUCCCAUGUUUCAUGAGCUGAAAUAAAACAUCCCAGAAAUGUUCCAUAUGCACAAAAUUUUGUGCAGAAAUUCAUUUACAUCCAUGUUAGUGAGCAUUUUUCUACUUUGCCAAGACAAUCAAUCAAUCAAUCAAUCAAUCAAUCAAUCAAUCAAUCACAUUUAUUUAUAAAGCCCUUCUUACAUCAGCUGAUGUCACAAAGUGCUGUACAGAAACCCAGCCUAAAACCCCAAACAACAAGCAAUGCAGGUGUAGAAGCACAGUGGCUAGGAAAAACUCCCUAUGAGGGGUGGCCAGUCCUCUUCUGGCUGUGCCGGGUGGAGAUUAUAACAGAACAUGGCCAAGAUGUUCAAAUGUUCAUAGAUGACCAGCAGGCUCAAAUAAUAAUAAGCACAGUGGUUGUCGAGGGUGCAACAUGUCAGCACCUCAGGAGUAAAUGUCAGUUGGCUUUUCAUAGCCGAUCAUUCAGAGUAUCUCUACCACUCCUGCUGUCUCUAGAGAGUUGAAAACAGCAGGUCUGGGACAGGUAGCACGUCCGGUGAACAGGUCAGGGUUCCAUAGCCGCAGGCAGAACAGUUGAAACUGGAGCAGCAGCACGGCCAGGUGGACUGAGGACAGCUAGGAGUCAUCAGGCCAGGGAGUCCUGAGGCAUGGUGUUAGGGCUCAGGUCCUCCGAGAGAAAGAAAGAAAGAAAGAAAGAGAGAAAAAGAGAGAAAGAAAGAGAGAAAGAAAUAAAGAAAGAAAGAAAGAAAGAAAGAAAGAAAGAAAGAAAGAAAGAAAGAAAGAAAGAAAGAAAGAAAGAAAGAGAGAGAACAUACUUAAAUUCCCACAGGAUACCGGAUAAGACAGGAGGAAUACUCCAGAUAUAACAGACUGACCCUAGCCCCCCGACACAUAAACUGCUGCAGCAUAAAUACUGGAGGCUGAGACAGGAGGGGUCGGGAGACACUGUGGCCCCGUCCGACGAUACCCCCGGACAGGGCCGAACAGGCAGGAUAUAACCCCACCCACUUUGCCAAAGCACAGCCCCCACACCACUAGAGGGAUAUCUUCAACCACCAACUUACCAUCCUGAGACAAGGCCGGGUAUAGCCCAUAAAGAUCUCCACCACAGCACAACCCAAGGGGGGGCGCCAACCUGGACAGGAAGAUCAUGUCAGUGACUCAACCCACUCAAGUGACGCACCCCUCCUAGGGACGGCAUGGAAGAGCACCAGUAAGCCAGUGGCUCAGCCCCUGUAAUAGGGUUAGAGGCAGGGAAUCCCAAUGGAGAGAGGGGAACUGGCCAGGCAGAGACAGCAAGGGCGGUUCAUUGCUCCACUGCCUUUCCAUUCACCUUCACACUCCUGGGCCAUACUACACUCAAUCAUAGGACCUACUGAAGAGAUGAGUCUUCAAUAAAGACUUAAAGGUUGAGACUGAGUCUGCGUCUCUCACAUGGGUAGGCAGACCAUUCCAUAAAAGUGGAGCUCUAUAGGAGAAAGCCCUGCCUCCAGCUGUUUGCUUAGAAAUUCUAGGGACAGUAAGGAGGCCUGCAUCUUGUGACCGUAGCAUACAUGUAGGUAUGUACGGCAGGACCAAAUCGGAAAGGUAGGUAGGAGCAAGCCAAUGUAAUGCUUUGUAGGUUAGCAGUAAAACCUUGAAAUCAGUCCUUGCCUUAACAGGAAGCCAGUGUAGAGAGGCUAGCACUGGAGUAAUAUGAUACAUUUUUGGGGUU